rnacentral:rRNA from 1 species
AGCAGCCGCGGUAAUUCCAGCUCCAAUAGCGUAUAUUAAAGUUGCUGCAGUUAAAAAGCUCGUAGUUGAAUUUCGGGACCAAUAUGUCGGUCGUGCCUCGGUACGUACUGGCAUCGUUGGUUUCUCCCUUCUGAAGAACCUCGAUGUCAUUAAUUUGGUGUCUUGGGGAAUCAGGACUGUUACUUUGAAAAAUUAGAGUGUUUAAAGCAGGCUCGCGCUUGAAUACAUUAGCAUGGAAUAAUGAAAUAGGACGUUUGAUUCUAUUUUGUUGGUUUCUAGGAUCGACGUAAUGAUUAAUAGGGAUAGUUGGGGGCAUUAGUAUUCAAUUGUCAGAGGUGAAAUUCUUGGAUUUAUUGAAGACUAACUACUGCGAAAGCAUUUGCCAAGGAUGUUUUCAUUAAUCAAGAACGAAAGUUAGGGGAUCGAAGACGAUCAGAUACCGUCGUAGUCUUAACCAUAAACUAUGCCGACUAGGGAUCGGAUGAUGUUAAUUUUUAAUGACUCAUUCGGCGCCUUAAC